GAGACAGCAGCAGCCGCGGGAAAACGAAGGGGGCUAGCGUUGCUCGGAAUUACUGGGCGUAAAGGGCGCGUAGGCGGACAGUUCAGUCGGGGGUGAAAGCCCGGGGCUCAACCUCGGAAUUGCCUUCGAUACUGGCUGUCUUGAGUAUGAGAGAGGUGUGUGGAACUCCGAGUGUAGAGGUGAAAUUCGUAGAUAUUCGGAAGAACACCAGUGGCGAAGGCGACACACUGGCUCAUUACUGACGCUGAGGCGCGAAAGCGUGGGGAGCAAACAGGAUUAGAUACCCCUGUAGUCCCUGUCUCUUAUAC
rnacentral:rRNA from 1 species